UACGAAGGGGGCAAGCGUUGUUCGGAAUUACUGGGCGUAAAGGGCGCGUAGGCGGCUUAUCAAGUCAGGCGUGAAAUUCCCGGGCUCAACCUGGGGCUGCGCUUGAUACUGAUUGGCUUGAAUGCGGGAGAGGAUAGUGGAAUUCCCAGUGUAGAGGUGAAAUUCGUAGAUAUUGGGAAGAACACCGGUGGCGAAGGCGGCUAUCUGGCCCGUAAUUGACGCUGAGGCACGAAAGCGUGGGUAGCAAACAGG
rnacentral:rRNA from 1 species